rnacentral:rRNA from 1 species
UACCAGCACCCCGAGUGGUCGGGACGUUUAUUGGGCCUAAAGCAUCCGUAGCCGGUUCUACAAGUCUUCCCGUUAAAUCCAACUGCUUAACAGGUGGGCUGCGGAAGAUACUAUAGAGCUAGGAGGCGGGAGAGGCAAGCGGUACUCGAUGGGUAGGGGUAAAAUCCGUUGAUCCAUUGAAGACCACCAGUGGCGAAGGCGGCUUGCCAGAACACGCUCGACGGUGAGGGAUGAAGCGGGGGAGCAACCGGG